ensembl:lncRNA
UCGUGUUAUGUUCUCAUUGACUGGUUAUGUUAAACACUUUUUUUUUCUCAAAAAAAGAACUACCUAUUUUUUUAUGACCAAUAAUAAUCUGUUUAUUCCUCAAGUUAUCAUUUACCGGUGCUGUAUGGCUGUACUGAAUAGUACACAUAGAAAAGCAGCUUUGUGUAGCAGCACAGAGUAUCCGUAAAUAACUAAGAUGAUGCCAUACACCCAUAGUCCAAACCCUUACAUUGCAGAUACCGGAUUCUGCUAAAGGCUUAGAAUUAAUCCUGCAAUUGCAGGAUUUUGCUCUUCCUCUGGUAAUAACCACAUACAAACUAAAUUUGGAAACCAGACUUCAGAUCUGUUUUGUCUCACUGUUCAAUGGCCAACAGAAUAAUGGUGCAUUUUUAGCAAGGCAGCUCACAUGUAGACUGUACAAGGAGGACAUUGAAUUUUUUAGUUCAAACAUGUUUCUGAUUAUCCAUUCAGUGAGUGUUUCAUUCAGGCCUCCCAUUGCAGUCUUUCAUUACCGUUUCAAGGGUCUUGAACUCAUCCUCUACUAAAUGACAAAUCCAGGUAUAUCCAAAUUUGAAUAGUGCUACAUAAGAGAAGAAAACCACAGGAAGCGCAUUUGGUUUCAGUUGGGAGAGAUACAUCAAUAUACUUUCACAACCUGCAAGUUCUAAAACCGAAGGCCAAUUUGUGAAGUGGCAUUCCCUGUUCCAGACUGAUAUUGUUUGUGACUGAGUGCAUCCUUGCCAGAGCUUCCCCUUAUCCAAGUGCAGCACAAUGAAACAUAGCAGGGCAAAGGACCAGAAAAUGAUGUCAUUCACUAAGAACCUAAUCCAUGACCAGGAUGUUGAAAGAUCUCCCCUUCCUCCUUCCUUUGUAACAGAAUUAAACGAACAAGGGCCAUCACCAAAACCAACUCGAGGAAAAAGAGAUCUUCUCUUGUAUAGGACGGACUGAAAUGAACUGCUUUAAGAAUCCCUGACUCAAUCAAUGGUGCUCCGAAGGAUAAGUGAGGGCUGCUUUCCAUUUGCGCUAACAAACUGAGGCAUUCCACCGAGCCACACCACUCAAAGUUCGUUCAAACGAUAAUAGGUUAUUGCUCACAAGGCAACCUCUUCAUCUUUCGUCAACCUGGACUCAAUUCCAACACGCAAAGUACCAUCGCUUGGCCGGUGCCCUCAAGCACCAAGGCCCCUUUUCAGCUUCUGAGUGACGCAAUGGGCUCGCAAACAAACUCCAAUCUAAACCCAUCUACAUCAGUCUAAGACAGUUAGAGGAACUGACGUAAAUGAAAUACCAUCAAAGUCCGUGCUGGAGAAGAGUGGGAGGGGACGAGGAACAGGUCAAACAAAGCCACGACCCCAAAAUAACCAGGUUGCUUUUGUUACCUAAACCUAACCGAGUGAUUUUCUUGUGAGAGUAAAUCUAAAAGUUGUAUGCAGAGAGGCUGUAUACAUGUGGUGAGAAGAUACUUGACACAGCGUCCCUGUGUUCCAAAGCCGACACUAGAGGGGGAGUUUUCAGUAUCGCCAUUGAAUGAGAUUCUGUGAUUGAAGACUUGAGAAUGAGAAUUUGUUAGCAGAGCACAGUGCAGAAAAAGGGCAAUAUGCUAUUGUCACAUACAGCUGUGAUCUUAUUGGUUGCACAUCAUAUGACAGCGCCAAAUGAGGUGUAAGUUGGAAAAAUCUGUGGCAGUUUUUUUUAGGAUUCCGCCAUGCCAAUUUGGACCUGCUGGUAUGAAAACAAUGGCACGGCCCGCACAGAGCAGAUCUAAUAUCAUGUGGGUAACUUAAGAACUACAAAUUCAACACUGCAACGGAGCUGUCUUUAUUUUUUAGGUUUGGUCUAUCAUGCGUUUCUGCAUACUAUUUCUUCCACAAUUUCUGGCUUGGUGCAUAAAGAAAAUACUGCGUCGUGGAUUGCAUCGAAAAACGGAUGUAAAUUGCGAGAUGCUGAGGCAUCCAGUAUGGAGGUAAUUCCCAUGGGUAGGUCUAAAAGCUAGUAUUCAUAUGUUUCAUAACAUGUAAUGAUUGUACAUGCCUUAAAUGUAAAAUUGGUUUGUCAUUCCUUUGCUGUUGUAAAUGUUAAAAAUGGUAAUACGGUGAAUACAAUAUUUGUGUUUAGGUUACCAGAGAAAACUUUUCUGUACAGAAAAUAUGUACAGUUACAGUUUUAACAUUUUAGUGAUACAUCUGAAUGUUGAUUUGAAUGAUUAAAACAGUAUCUUGUUUCUACAAUGCAGUUUGCACCCUGACAUGAAGACAAAUACAAUCGGAUUGCUCGAUUCAGUACCAACAGCACACUUGACACCUGUUGAUGUUAAUUCCAGAUGCUUUGCGUGCAGAGAUGGGGCAUUGUCCUGCUGUGUCCUGUCUUGGCGUUAAAGGGCCCAGAGUACAGGAAGUGGAGAUGGAGAUUACAACACUAGAAGCGGGGCCACAUGCACAAGGUCAAAACCGGUGUUUAAUAAAAGCUACAUAACUCUUUAAUAACAAUAAUCAGUAUAUCUCAGAUAUCUGUGUAGGCCACAGAUCCCUUCCCCUGAGUUAUUAUUUUCCGCAUGACAUAUUCCAAAACAUUUUUAUGUGAUGCCUCGGUGUACUUGACGUCUACUUAUAGAACAUACAACAUCUACUUAUAGGACAUGUUUACCCACAUUCUUUUUGGGAGUGCUUCGAUACCGUGUGUGUGUUUGAGGCAUCAGUGUCUCACCCGGUUUGUGUGUGUGUUUGUGCAUGUAAAGAGAGAAGGUACGUAAAUUAGAGAUAUGCACAAGUUCCGUGGGCUUGUGGGGUUAACCUCUGAUUAAAUGCACAGCUCCAGUCGGUUGCGGCGAUGGGCACGCUACUGUAAUUUUGCAGCUGCUUGAUUUCAGCACAUGACACAUCCAGUGCAAUUGGCCUUCCGACCGCACACCAAAGCAUUUAAAAUAGUGUUCGUUUCUCAGACCUCUUUCCUGUCAACAAAACAAUAUGAGGAGUUAUUAAUAAUGUGUUUUCCUCUCAACUGGUAACAUGUUGUAAAACUAAAAAUAAAUGUCUUGCGUAGUUACUGUUUUUCUUCUUUUUUUGUCUCCUGUUGUGUCUUUUCAAAUGGUUUUGCCCUGUUGCACGCCCGGAUUUGCUGUUAAUCUCAUGCUUUUAAAGAUGGGCUGAAGAGAGAGUGUCUGUUUGUGUGUGUCUGUGUUUGUUUCUAGGAGUGAGUGGAAAGAAAUCUUUUCUAAUGGCACAGCAAAGUAUCGGUGACUCAGCAAGCAAUAAGCCUUAAUCCUGAGUCCAAACAAUGGUCUUUACUAUUCACUUGUUUGGUUUUCAUGCUGUCAGUUAUCCAGUAGAUUAACCAAAAACACUCUCCUCUCCUCCUGCGUCAAACUACAUGAGAAACGUCUCCCUUGGGAGGAAUUCAUUCCAUCACCUCGACGCAUAAAGAAAUUUUACUUUACUUCCACAUAGCAAGAUCUGCAAAACUUAAUCCCAAAUCGGAUUUGUGCGCUGUGCCGUGAGAUGUGUUUAAUCACACAGAUCCCGACAAGUUGCAAGUGGCGGGCCUCCGUAAAACACACCAGAUGGAGAUGUCCGUUUGACGUAGUUUGAUAGUAGACAGAUAUGGAGUGUCGCAAUGCUGACUGACUGAACCUAAUAUGUUGCCUAAUAACCGUGGCGCCUUGACAGUAGCACUGUGGUUAAAAUGUCAAAUUACAUAUUACGUCGUGAAUCAACAUUACAUUUUUAGUCCAACACUCUCUCUUUAAGAGCCACAUACUGAACAAGCUGAGCAAGCUGGAAGGUUAAGCUUAGGAUAAAAUGUUAGCUCAUAACUUUAUGCAGAGCGUUAUGCGACGAAGGUGGAUUUGUACAACUCAAUCGAGGGGACCAAAGACGAGUGUAAAAGGAUAAAAACUCCAGAAGGUUUUGAUGCUGUGCUUCCGGACUCCUUUGAAUGUGUUCGACUUAAGAGAUAGUUAAAAGUGAAAUGGUGGGCAGGGAGCUCCUUCAGGCCUGUGGACUGGCUGACAGGAGGAUGGAGACCGGCCAAAGGUCCUGACCUGCCUCACGCCAACAGCUCCGUGACGGGGCGAGGCUCCUCUGUGCUGCACAGCCAUGAAAACCUAAGCUCCUUAAAUGUCACCAGAAGACCAGUGUAGUUCACAGACACGUCCACGCCUGGAUUAAAUGAUGAGUAAAUCUUCUCCCAUGUCUGAUUGUAUGGAUAUGUGUUAAAAAUGUAUGAGAUAGCAAAGGUUUUAGAAGUGAGCAGGACUAAACCUUUUAGUGAGUUUAAUAUUCAUUAUCAGUUAGAUUUUGUCAGUUAAUUUCUGCUACAUAUUGAUCCUGCAUGUGAUUUUACAUACCUAUUUAGUGUUGUAGUUUAUUUCAAAACCACUUAAACUUCAGUUGCAUCUGUAUUAUGUCUCAAUUUGCUAAUCAUAGAUCAUCGGCCAUGGCUGAAUGAUUAAGAAAUGAUGAAAAUAUAGUUUAUUGUGUUUCUUCCCAAUAUAUUUUUCUUUUCUGACAAUUCUAUAAACCACAGCAUUGACACGUCACAGGUGAAGGGGUUGAUUUCAUGGUAUCUCAUGAGAUGGUAACAACCAUUCAGAGAUUAUUGCAUCUGAAAGGAGUGCCGUGCCAGACCUUGUCCUACUUGACACAUCAUGGAUCGGUUUUACAAAUUAAUCGAGGAGGAUGAUGAGGCCACUGGGCUCUUUUUCCCAACAUCAUCUCCCCCUCCCACUCCCUCUUUUAGUAUUCCCCUGUGGAGACUCUUGCCACCCAGAGCUCGAUACAGAAACAGUAAAUGAGGUUCCCCCUGACGUCUCCAAAGUAUCAGGGUGUGCCGAAUGGUAGUGGCAUGCAAAGUGAGUCUAAAGCAGGGCCUGAACUUUUGAACCUGUCACCUCGCCUUUCUUCCCCUGCAAGUGCAUGUGGACUCUGACUGCCUUUGUGUUACAGGCUGAAGAUAGAAUCGGAGAGGUUGGACUUUGGGUGAACUUUUCUCAUUGACCUAAUUCCCCUCCCAAAGACACUCACACAGGCACAUACAUUUAACUACCUCCCUUAUUUAUUUACAUCUGACAUGCGAUUCAUUCAAAAUAUAAUUUAAUACAUAUGCUUUGGGUUACUUCCAUUAUUAAGUUAUUAAAGCUCUAGCUUAAAUUCAGUGAGAAAGACUCAAAUCACUCCUCACUCAGUAGUUUGUUGCAGUCAUUGUUCAGGGCUGUCGAUCACAAUAUCAGCUGUUAAGACCUGCUCCUUUAUCCAAUAAGCACAACGAAACAAUUCCAUCGUUAGCCCAUCAAUGUGCUGCUUUCUGCUUGCGCACACCUCCACCAUCUUCACCCAGUCUUCGCAGAUCCAUCAGCUUUAUCAAUUCAUCAUUCAAUCAACUUGGGGCUCUGGAGUCCACUGGGCGAAUUAUAGACUCCGUCAAGACUUUACAAUCUCAUAUCAGCUGUUGAUAGUAAACAAUUAUCUGUUCUUCACCUUACUUGUCUCUCCUCAUUAAAUUCAAUUUGUGUGCAUGAAUAAAUAAAUGUCGGAAAUUUAUUUGCAUUUGUUUCAUAAAAUUCAACGGCUAGUUGAGUUCAUCUGACCAAAUGUAUCAGAAUAUUACUGUUUAGCUUUGUGGUGUCCGGGGCAGAAUUUGACAAGAACCUCGUGCUUGUGUUUUUUUGGAAAUCAACAAUCAUAAUUGACCUUCUACCUCAGUGGACUUUAUUAUUAUUCUAUUCUUUAUUCUAUGUAACCUGACUUUCUCCUUUUCUCCCACCAUAAGUAUGUCCAAACUAUCAAAGACAGAAACUACACACAAUAAUUGCUUUUGUAAAAUACACAAAAGGCAACAUUGUUGAAAUACAAAAGAAAAUGGAACCAUGUCCCUUCUGUUGACAAUUUAACAACAACUUUGUGUUCGCCAUAAAUAAAUAAGGAGCCUUGUGGAGGGCUAAACAGAGUAAAGAUAUGGGAUCGGGGGUUGUGGAACAGUUUAACUGUUGGGCUUGGGUUUCAAAUCUUGUCUGAACACCUGGGUCUGCAUAGUGCUUGGUGGAAGCAGCUGGGACCAUUUUUGGCCUGGAGUCCAAAACCUGGCUCUUACUUGGCUGUGCUUUCCAGCCUGUUUCUAUCUCGCUGGAAAGUCCUUUUCAGCUGGUGGAAAGUGAGAGGGCUCUUAGAGCCCCACAAGCCUCAAUAAAUAGUCUCAAAUGUCAUUGCAUGCAGAGUGGGGGAUGUCUCAAUUAAGCAUUUGGGACACACUGGUUGCCAUAUGUAGUGUGUGAGAUACUUUUGUUAGGGCCCGGUUAACAAAAUACUUUGCUUGCAAGAGGCUGUUUGAAUUUCACCUCCUCUUGAAAAAGCCUAUUGUUACUCCAUUAUUUGGUGUAUUAUUGAAAUGCCUUUCAGUCCUUUUACUUCUUCCUUCCUGGUUAACCCUAAAUCAAUUAGGCUAUUUACUGGGAACCGAGGAACAAGAGCCAUAGAUGGGGGUUAAGGAUUUCCAUCAAAUCACCUCACAAAUUGGUCUCUGGCAAAGGAGUGGGAUUAAGUUCCCUGUCCCAAACAGUUGCAGUCAGUAGUGACUGGGUUGCUUAGUUUGGACAGAUGGGAUAACUGGGCGGGUCAGCGGAAGCAGGACCAGCUCAGUCUGCUGCUGCUGAAGCCAUCUGGAAAAGUGGAAUGGGAUUCCAAGGCCUGACGAAGAGGUGAAGAAAAGGGCUUUCCCCUCUGGGCCGGCCGAGCCUCGCGGUGAUUUGCACCAGAGUAAAUAGGGCUCUGUGAGAAGAGCUACUCUUUCUCUCCAAGCAGGCGUCCUGAGAUGUCUUCAGCAUUUCCUCGUCCCUUUCUUCACCCCGCAACAUCCAUCCCCAUUAUUCCCUAUAUCUGGCUGCGUCUGGCUUCCUCUCUGAGGUGCAUUCACUUUGCUUGUCUUGACUGCUCUUUCCUCUUUGUUUGUCUCCAGGACUUUUUCUUUUCGUCUUCCAAACUAAAUGUGUUGACAGUGAAAGAAAUCAAAUUCUUCUCCCAGAAGUGUUCAGCUUCCUCUUGUAUUCUGACUUGCAGUUCAAAAGCCCCUAAAAAUGCUAUUUCAUUAUACUUUGAACUCCUAUCCAAAUUUAAAGUCAUGCUAAUUGUGCUUGGGAUAGUGCCCUUCACUGCAUCGGAUGAAAUCAGGGAUGAUUCCAAAAGAAAAGCUCAGGGAAGCAGCUGUCUCUAUCUGUCUGUCUCUCUGUCUGAGGUGAUUACAAGCCGGGCCAGCCAGUAAAUGCAAAACAAUUGUCUGAAAAUAACACAGACACAGCCUUAAUCUCCCUUUCUUUGCCUUGCUUAACCUUCCUCUUGUGUUAGCUUUCCGUUACCAUCUCUUAUGUUAACGGAACUGAACGAACAACUAUGUACGUGGACACUUGACGCAGUAUUUAGACACCUGCAUCCGUUUUUGGAUCGUAAAUACGUCCUUCGUUAAAAAAUGUAUUCAAAAUUUCCACAGAAAUGAAUAUCAGACUUCAUCAGUGCCUGGCCAAAUCAAGUGGGAAUCUUCCAAAGUCCUUCUUAUUACCACAUUCCUAUUUGUUUUCCUGGACAGCCUUGCUAAGCAACAUUUGCAGUCAGAUUUAGGUUUGUUUGUUGCUAUGAUAAAAAUCUGUGUUACAUCAAAAUCUGUUUCCUCAUUGAUUCUGAUUCACCUUAACCCAACCUCAGCUGUAACUCCAAUCAAUUACCCUCGCCUCUCCUAAAGUUAAUAGAACCAAAGCCUCAGAGCUACAGGAAACACAUGGUGAACACUGCUUGAAGGCGAAACUGGCUCCAACAUGAGGGCUGCAAUAAAGCCUCACAGAGACUAAAGCUGACCACAUUGAAUACAUUUUUGCACGUCUGGAAAAGAGGGCCAGUUCCAGAUUGUCAAUGCCCCAAAAAAAGAGAAAUUUGAUCCCAAUUUCUGUAUCAACACUGAAGUGCAGACACUUGUUGUCAAAAGUCUAUAAAUCAGACCAGAAACUGUUUAUUGUCAAUUACGUUACUCCUGCAAGAAAUUUGGCUCGGUGAUUGAUGCAACAAAGUUUUCAACAAGAUAUUCAGGGCAUAUCUUCUGCCUCCAUAAGGGUCUCAACGUGAUGACCAUGGUGCUGGUUUCUUUUAGCUAUGAAAGUCUGAACAAGGGUCAGCGGUGCUGACAGAUUUAACAAUGUU